rnacentral:rRNA from 1 species
CUGGCGGCGUGCUUAACACAUGCAAGUGGAGCGACGAACCAGGCUUCGGCCUGGGGCAAAGCCGCGAACGGGUGAGUAACACGUGGGUAACCUGCCCCGAAGACCGGGACAACCCGGGGAAACCCGGGCUAAUACCGGAUGUGGUCAUCGUUCACAAGGACGAUGAGCAAAGGGAGCUUCGGCCCCCGCUUCGGGAUGGGCCCGCGGCCUAUUAGCUUGUUGGUGAGGUAACGGCUCACCAAGGCGACGAUAGGUAGCUGGUCUGAGAGGACGAUCAGCCACACUGGGACUGAGACACGGCCCAGACUCCUACGGGAGGCAGCAGUGGGGAAUCUUGCGCAAUGCGCGAAAGCGUGACGCAGCAACGCCGCGUGGGGGAAGAAGGCCUUCGGGUUGUAAACCCCUUUCAGGAGGGAAGAAGCUUCGGCGGUGAAUAGCCGUCCGGAGUGACGGUACCUCCACAAGAAGCCCCGGCUAACUACGUGCCAGCAGCCGCGGUAAUACGUAGGGGGCCAGCGUUGUCCGGAAUCAUUGGGCGUAAAGCGCGCGUAGGCGGUCGGAUAAGUCCGGUGUGAAAGUCAAAGGCUCAACCUUUGAAUGCCGCUGGAAACUGUCUGGCUUGAGUCCGGGAGGGGCGAGUGGAAUUCCUGGUGUAGCGGUGAAAUGCGCAGAUAUCAGGAGGAACACCAAUGGCGAAGGCAGCUCGCUGGAACGGUACUGACGCUGAGGCGCGAAAGCGUGGGGAGCGAACAGGAUUAGAUACCCAGGUAGUCCACGCCGUAAACGAUGGGCACUAGGUGUGGGAGGUGUCGACUCCUUCCAUGCCGUCGCUAACGCAUUAAGUGCCCCGCCUGGGGAGUACGGCCGCAAGGCUAAAACUCAAAGGAAUUGACGGGGACCCGCACAAGCAGCGGAGCAUGUGGUUCAAUUCGACGCAACGCGAAGAACCUUACCUGGGCUUGACAUGUAGGUGACAGCCGUGGAAACACGGUCUCCCUUCGGGGCACCUUCACAGGUGGUGCAUGGCUGUCGUCAGAUCGUGCCGUGAGGUGUUGGGUUAAGUCCCGCAACGAGCGCAACCCUAAUCACUAGUGAAUUC